AUUGAACGCUGGCGGCAUGCCUUACACAUGCAAGUCGAACGGCAGCACGGGGCAACCUGGUGGCGAGUGGCGAACGGGUGAGUAAUGCAUCGGAACGUACCUUUCAGUGGGGGAUAACGUAGCGAAAGUUACGCUAAUACCGCAUAUUCUGUGAGCAGGAAAGCAGGGGAUCGCAAGACCUUGCGCUGAUUGAGCGGCCGAUGUCAGAUUAGCUAGUUGGUGAGGUAAAGGCUCACCAAGGCGACGAUCUGUAGCGGGUCUGAGAGGAUGAUCCGCCACACUGGAACUGAGACACGGUCCAGACUCAUACGGGAGGCAGCAGUGGGGAAUUUUGGACAAUGGGGGCAACCCUGAUCCAGCCAUGCCGCGUGAGUGAAGAAGGCCGUCGGGUUGUAAAGCUCUUUCGGCCGGGAAGAAAUCGCACGGGCUAAUACCCUGUGUGGAUGACGGUACCGGAAUAAGAAGCACCGGCUAACUACGUGCCAGCAGCCGCCGUAACAC
rnacentral:rRNA from 1 species